rnacentral:tRNA from 1 species
GAAAAAGUUAUAGUGGCUAUAGGGUUGGCUUGAAAUCAAUCUCAGAAGGUUCGAUUCCUUCCUUUUUUA